UUGAGCUCUCCCUUGGUGUGAGGAGAUCGGGGAUUGGAUUGGGAGCCUUCAAUUGAGUUGUGGAGUUAGCCCCCGUCAAGUUUGUAAAGGUUUGGACUUCGCCCCCAAGGAAGCCACUAGUGGAGCUCACAUUACCUUUGUGGUGUCGUGAGAGGAGAAUAGAGUGAGCCUUUGUGGCGCCUCUACCUUUGUGGUAGAGCACUCCUCCAAACGGAGAUGUACACCUACCCCAAUCGGUGGAACUCCGGUGAAAAUCUUCAUCUCUCAUGUGGUAUCUAUUCUUAUCCUUUACAUUCUUGUUAUCUUGUUGCUUCGGCUAUUGCACUUCAUACUAGGGUUGCAUUCACUUUAGAGAAUCUAGUGAGCCCUAGGAUUAAGUGCUUUCAAGAAAAGAAAAAUAAAAAGUAAAAUUUGAUAGUCGCCUAUUCACCACCCCCUCUAGCCGACCAAACCGAUCUUUCAAUUGGUAUCAGAGCCUCAUCUCUUAAUUAGGGCUUUACCGCUCUUAAGAGUAUGGGCGGCAAUGGUGGGGACCCCGUUGAAAAACUAAUAGCACCCGAGGGUAUAGAUGAUAAUGCCCCACUCACUCUUAAGUCUAUCCAAUUGCUUUUGAAUAGCUUACAAGAGGUGUUACUUGAAAAGGUUGAUGAAAAGAUUAGCGAGCACCUAGCUCCCAAACCC
rnacentral:lncRNA from 1 species